rnacentral:rRNA from 1 species
GAUGAACGCUGGCGGCGUGCCUAAUACAUGCAAGUCGAGCGAACGGACGAUAAGCUUGCUUCUCUGAUGUUAGCGGCGGACGGGUGAGUAACACGUGUAUAACCUACCUAUAAGACUGGUAUAACUUCGGGAAACCGGAUCUAAUACCGGAUAAUAUUUUGAACCGCAUGGUUCAAAAGUGAAAGACGGUCUUGCUGUCACUUCUAGAUGGAUCCGCGCUGCAUUAGCUAGUUGGUAAGGUAACGGCUUACCAAGGCAACGAUGCAUAGCCGACCUGAGAGGGUGAUCGGCCACACUGGAACUGAGACACGGUCCAGACUCCUACGGGAGGCAGCAGUAGGGAAUGUUCCGCAAUGGGCGAAAGCCUGACGGAGCAACGCCGCGUGAGUGAUGAAGGUCUUCGGAUCGUAAAACUCUGUUAUUAGGGAAGAACAUAUGUGUAAGUAACUGUGCACAUCUUGACGGUACCUAAUCAGAAAGCAACGGCUAACUACGUG